GGGCUGCGUAAUAACCACCGAGCGCUUGGAAGACAAACGAUGUCAUCUUCCUUCUGUCAGAGCAGGAAGGGCAGCCUGGAGAGAAAGAGAAGCCGGGUUGAGCCCACUACCAUCAUCCACGUACCACGAGGAAGAUGAGGGAGAGAAAUGAUCCUACCAUUAAAGAGGUACUUUUAAGUUACAUACCAGAAACACCAAUUUAUAUAAUGUGCCACAUAUACAUUUUUAUUAAAUCCCCAAAGUACGCUUGCUGACAUACAAGUUAAUAUCACACUGAAAGAAUUUUGAUCAAUCAUGCUUCCCUGCUGUGAUUGUUUAACUGGGAAAACAACUUUUUCCACAGGAAGGCAAGUAAAUUUAAGGAAUACAUUUGCAAAGUUUUCCUCUGUUAUGUAUAAUGAUGACCCCCAUCAAACAUAAUGUUAGCAAUCUUUACACCUUUUAAUUUAUACUGAUUAUUUCUGUCUACAUGUGUGAAUUUGCCUUCAUUAGUUUCAGAAAAGAGCGAUGAUGUAUCGGUCAGUGGGCGGCAGCACGAGACUCCGCAAACUAGUCUGUAAGCAAAGCAGACGAAGGCAUCAAGGUUGCGGCCUGCCAUCAUUGUUAUUUUGCUUAAGGGACUGAAUAUGUUUCAUGUAGAAAUAUUAGCAUUUCCCUUAUAUCUACCAAAACUGCUUGUUUCACAGACUGCAGUUUUGUUUUGAUCCGAUGUGGUGUGCAAAUACAACCGUAUCUGCAAUGGGUUGUGGGGCAUUAACAUUUGUAACUCUAAUUUUGUUUUGACAGACUGUGAAAAGAACGUAGAGAACAUCACCACUCUACAGGAAGACACAGUCCAGUAAUGGGUGUCAGAAGUUCAGUAGUGAACGACGGGUACUGUGGAAAAAUGUGUGUCAUUGUUGUACAAUGUCCUUUGACUCUGUUUACACAAGGUUAACACAAAAAGGUUUGAUUGUAAACUGAUAUUGGUAUGAAUUCAUGUUAUUCUCCUCUUCACAAGAAACAAACAAUCCAAAUUACCUGCAGAACGCCCUUGAUGGACGCUUCAGGAGCAUUGUCAGACUGGUGAGACAGCAAGGUGCCAACUUUAAUGCCAAUUUAUUUGUGUAACAUUCUGUGACCAAAUGUAUAGAUAACUUUUUGUAGAUUGUAAAAAUAAAUAACCCAUUUAUUACAAAAAAACUACACUAGAAUUACCGCACUGCGUUGUAUGACUCCGCUAACCAGCGCAGUGUCCGUCUACAUAUUUCUACAUAUUUUCUCUCGUAUAAAUGACACUGUGUCUCUUGACAACUGAAACCAUAAGAUGAGGUCAGUGUGGCCUUGACCUUUUGACUUUAACACAAAUACACAGUUAGACAAUCCGAAAACAUACAGUUAUGCCAAAAUAUAUUUGGUUUCACAUUCUAGAUGGCAUAAGCAGAGACAUCAACUCAGGAAAAAUAUUUCUGUAGAAAAGAAAGCCCUGUACGUGUGUACGUAUGUAUACAUACACACGUACAAACGCACUAUUGAGACGUUUUGUUUUUUAUCAUAUAUUCUCAGGAAGGACUGAUGCAUUUACUGAGACGGGACGUGAGGGCCUACUCUGCGUGCUCAGAGUUCAAGCCCAGCAGGCUGCAGCGGGCCUGACAUAUUCCGGAACAGCAGCACAGUCUUUGGAUGACUGCUCUGAAGAUGAAAACAUGGCGAGUUCUUCUCAAGAGAAGCAGUACAGGUGUGCCUCAGCUCCACGGUCCCUCCUGCAGCCUCCGCUCCUGAUGCUAACCUCAUGUCUCCAUCACACCAAGCAGCAGACCUGGAUUGACAGACCUUUCUCCAGAGCUGCCCCCUCCCUCUGAAACCCCCCUCUCCAAAACACUAUUUGUGGCGUUUUUAAAGUCUUAUUUGCAUGAGAAUUGUUGAUCAUAACAUUUCAAGCAGAUGCCUUAAUGUAAUGUUUGUGCACAAUAAAUGACAUUGUUCAUAA